AAAAAAGCAAACCGCGGGUUUACGUACCAAUGUUUGACUAUCCGUCUUAUAUGAAAUUUUUUUAUAAUUAGUAUUUUCAUUGUUGUUAGAUGAUAAAACAUGAUGAAUACUUUAUGCGUGACUUAUCUUUUUAAUUUUUUUCAUAAUUUUUUCAAAUAAGACGGACGGUCAAACAUUGGACACGGAAACCAGGGUUUGUCUUUUU
rnacentral:pre_miRNA from 1 species